rnacentral:rRNA from 1 species
UACAUGGGGUGCAAACGUUGCUCGGAAUUAUUGGGCGUAAAGCGCACGUAGGUGGUCUGUUAUGUCAGAUGUGAAAGCCCUCGGCUUAACUGAGGAAGUGCACCUGAAACUGGCAGGCUUGAGUACGAAAGAGGGUCGCGGAAUUCCCGGUGUAGAGGUGAAAUUCGUAGAUAUCGGGAGGAACACCGGUGGCGAAGGCGGCGACCUGGUUCGAUACUGACGCUGAGGAGCGAAAGCGUGGGGAGCGAACAGG